rnacentral:rRNA from 1 species
AGAGCGAACGCUGGCGGCAGGCCUAACACAUGCAAGUCGAACGGGAGUAGCAAUACUCUAGUGGCGGACGGGUGAGGAAUACGUAGGAAUUUGCCCUUAAGUGGGGGAUAACCCGGGGAAACCCGGAUUAAUACCGCAUGACCUCGAAAGAGCAAAGUGGGGGAUCGCAAGACCUCACGCUUUUGGAGAAGCCUACGUCGGAUUAGCUAGUUGGUGAGGUAAUGGCUCACCAAGGCGACGAUCCGUAACUGGUCUGAGAGGAUGAUCAGUCACACCGGAACUGAGACACGGUCCGGACUCCGUACGGGAGCAGCAGUGGGGAAUAUUGGACAAUGGGCGCAAGCCUGAUCCGAAGCAAUGCCGCGUGUGUGAAGAGGCCUUGGUUAGUAAAGCUAACGUUUAAGUUAGGGAAAGAAAAACGUCGACUAC